rnacentral:rRNA from 1 species
GUGAGUACCGUCAUUAUCUUCCUCAACAACAGGAGUUUACAAUCCGAAGACCUUCUUCCUCCACGCGGCGUCGCUGCAUCAGGGUUUCCCCCAUUGUGCAAUAUUCCCCA